rnacentral:rRNA from 1 species
UACGUAGGGUGCGAGCGUUGUCCGGAAUUAUUGGGCGUAAAGAGCUCGUAGGCGGUCUGUCGCGUCGAUCGUGAAAACUUGGGGCUUAACCCUGAGCUUGCGGUCGAUACGGGCAUGACUGGAGUUCGGCAGGGGAGACUGGAAUUCCUGGUGUAGCGGUGAAAUGCGUAGAUAUCGUAAGGAAGACCAGUGGCGAAGGCGGGUCUCUGGACAGUUCCUGACGCUGAGGCACGAAGGUCAGGGGAGCAAACGGG